AUGUUGGAGGAAAACGAGACACUCAUACACUGUUGGUGGAGCUGUGCCACAGUCCAACAAAGUUGGAGAGCAGUUCGGAGUCUCAUCCGGAGAAUCAUAAACCAUUGUUGGGUCUGUUUCCAGGGGAGAAGAACCCUUAAGUUCCAGGCUAUUCACAGCAGCUCCCCGCUGGGGUCAGGUGGAUAUACAAAAGGGCGGGUAGCCACAGAAAGGAUUUUUGCUCUGGUUCUGUCAAAGGAGUUUCCAAAACUCCUCCCCAAGAACUGGAGUGUGUGCCAGGGCCGAGUCCUCACAAUGGGGAGGAGCCAGGAGAGACCACGCCCCAUUACAGCAAUUCUCCAAUACUACUCAGGGAGGUAUGGAACACUUCUUUCUCUGGGGAAUUUGAAGGAAUUGUGCCUGUUCACUCUCUUCCUCCCAACUAGGGAAGUCCCUAAUAUUUUAUCCAAUUACAAACCAGAUUGUUUAAUAUUGUUUCCUGUUAACGAGUUGGUCAUCUUUGAUUGUUUUUUAAUGUAUAAGUCUACUCUCCCCCAUUUAGAGUCCAGCCCUAAAUUGAGGAAGAGGCUUGAUCCCAAUGUUAGCCAAAUGGCACUCAUCACUUAAUAAAUCAAACCUGUUUCCUCAGUCAUUUUGUCUUCAACUCUUACCUACCUCACACCCGAAUUAAUACAAAAGGUGGGUCUGCCUGCCUCCAAUCAUCUUCCAUUCAGCCACCUAAAUGGUUUUUCUCAAGUCAGUCUGAUCAUGUAACCCCAACCCUCAAUACACUCCAACAGAUCAAAAUGGCUCCAAAGAUCCAAAGUAAAAUCCUGUUUGAGCUUCAAAGCCUUUCCUUACCUGCCCCUCUCCUUUCCAGUCUUCCUCCAGCCUCCUCUCCCACCACUCUUUGAUCCAGUGACCCUGGCCUCCCGGCCCGACCAUGGACAAGUCUACACCUCCAGUCUCUGAGCUUUGACUCCGGCUGUGCCCCAGGCUGGCAGGCGCUCCAUCCUCUGCUCACUUCAGCAAGUCCCAACAAACUCACCUCCCCAUGUAGCGGCAUCCGUCUCAAAGAGAAGUGGAUCCCCGCAGGCUGCUGCCCCAGCUAGCCCCAACCCCGCCUCAUUUCCCACUGGCCCUGCAGAUGGCCUUGCUGGACCCUUUUGCUCCAGAAUGGCAGCUCCUCGAGGGCGGGAGCUGUCCUUGGCCUCUUUCUACGUCCUCUGCAUUUGGCAGUGUCUGGCACACAAUGGGUGCUUCACCCACAUUUAACUGUGGAUAAGGAACAGUCAGGGCAGGAAUGGGCAGGGUCAGCUGUCUGGAGGACUAAAGACAAGAGUUGGGGGGAGGGCACAGAAUGGAGAGGGACAGGGUGGAGGGGCAGAGAGGGAGGAGGCGGCACAGGGUCACCCCAGGGGGAGCUGGCAACAUGGACUCCAGGGGCUGCGGGAGGGAUCAACAGGAAAAGUUGGAGGGGAAUCCUUGGCCAAACUCUCUAGGACAGGCCUCCCCGCGUGUGAGCCCAGGUACCCCGCUGAGGGCGCACACCGAAGUGCAAAGACAUACACACAAACAGAUAGACACAGAAAAUAGUUCUCGCACUCUCGGGAGAAAUAACUCCAGGCACACUUCAACCCCGGAUCUGCACUCUUGGGGGAGGGAGUGGGCGGGGAAACGCGCGCCUGCGCACUGACUCGCCCCAUGGCACCGGAGGAAAGAGGUCGGCCUCUGCGCGUGCGCACUCCCGCCCUUGGUCCCUCCCUCCUUCACUCACGCACGGGUUUAGCCCCUGGAGCCGCACCCGUGCCCUGACUGGGAAUCUGGCCUCCUAGAAGGUACGAGGCUUCAUCCCUCUGACAUCCGGAAGGACGAUUCCCAUAAUGGGAGUUUACGUCAUUCUGCACCUGAUGGGAGGGGCUCCCGAUGCAUUCUGGGAAAUGAAGUUCAGAGACAGAACGGCCCUUCCUGGACCAAACUGCGCAUGUGCCUUCCGGGAUGACAGUCACCCAGAUGAUCCUCUCCCAAGUGGAGCUCCUGCGCCUGCGUACUAGGAAGGAGUCAACCUGUCUUUCAGCCGCCUCUUCUUCCCCUAGAGCCCCAGCCCCGCAGGAAUCCGCCUGAUGUGGAGCCCCAAGAGCUGAGAAUGAAGAGGACGGUAUGCAGGGAGGAAGACCCGACAGACAACCCCUAGAAGCAGCUUGCAGCCGAGGUCCUGAGGAGUGAAAGGGGCUCAAAAGGAGUGGAAGUUCAAGAAGACCAUUCAGAGGAGACCGAGGGGCAUCUUCGUGCAUACUUCCGUAGCUUGGGGAGCUCAUCAUCGUCCCCUUUCCUGGAGUGCACUACUACUCGGCGAUGCUCCAUCCUUGAGGAUACUGCCUCGGCUCCCCAGUGCCCCCAAGUGAAACUCUCCUGUCCAUAGGAGGCUGCCAACAGGAGGUAUGGUGGAUAGGCUUAAAGCCACCCUACUUUGGCUACUACAGCUGAGGGGGAGGCAGGAGAGAAAGUAACUGUCUAGGAGUCUGAGGGCAGCCUCGCUGUAACGAAUCUGGAGCCCCUUUCCCUUGUUUGGAGGAAUUUCCCAUCAUCCCUUCCUGGAGGAGCUUCUUUUAAAGGACUCAUUGACAAGAGGUGGGAAUGAGGCUGACACCUUCCAAGUUCCCUUGGCUGGAUUCCAUUUGGUUGACCUUGCCAUUUCAGUGGGAUAUGACUCAAUUCCCAUGACACUCAAGCUCUUUUCAAAAGGCUUUGACCAAUCAGUUUCAGUCUUUUCAGUCCUCAGUUUCCACAUUUGUAAACAAUGGGAGGGAUUAUAAAGUUUCUCCCAGAUUCUGACCUCUGCCUUUGGGUUUAUUAAAGCCACAAAAGCUAAGAUGAUGCCUUGUUUGUGAUAUCUGAGUGGGUAGGGGCAAACCAAACCUGUCCCCCUUAAAUUUAGGGCUUUAAGGAACCAACACCAUUUUUAUAGAUGAAGAAACAGGCAAAGAGAGACUGAGUUACCUGCCCGGAAUUACACUGUCACAAAUUUUUCUGAGGCAGAAUUCAAACUAGGAUCUUCCUGUCUCUAGCCUCCAUGUGAGGUAUCGUGGCAAAGUGGAUAGAGCCCCCAGCCUAGAGUCAGGAAGAUCAGACACUUCCUAGCUGUGUGACCCUGGGCAAGUCACUUAAUCUGUUAUCUUCAGAUUUUCAACUGAAAAGUAGGGGUAAUUGUAUCUACCUCCCACAGGUAACUUUUGGAAAUACAAAUAAAACCAAAGUAUCCCUGUCUUUGUGGGUUUAU
rnacentral:lncRNA from 1 species